rnacentral:rRNA from 1 species
CCUACGGGGGGCAGCAGUGGGGAAUAUUGGACAAUGGGGGCAACCCUGAUCCAGCCAUGCCGCGUGUGUGAAGAAGGCCCUCGGGUUGUAAAGCACUUUCAGUGAGGAAGAACGCCUGGUGGUUAAUACCCAUCAGGAAAGACAUCACUCACAGAAGAAGCACCGGCUAACUCCGUGCCAGCAGCCGCGGUAAUACGGAGGGUGCGAGCGUCAAUCGGAAUUACUGGGCGUAAAGCGCGCGUAGGUGGCUUGAUAAGCCGGUUGUGAAAGCCCCGGGCUCAACCUGGGAACGGCAUCCGGAACUGUCAAGCUAGAGGGCAGGAGAGGAAGGUAGAAUUCCCGGUGUAGCGGUGAAAUGCGUAGAGAUCGGGAGGAAUACCAGUGGCGAAGGCGGCCUUCUGGACUGACACUGACACUGAGGUGCGAAAGCGUGGGUAGCAAACAGGAUUAGAUACCCGAGUAGUC